rnacentral:rRNA from 1 species
UCAAGCUAAUAAGGGCUGUUGGUGGAUGCCUUGGCAUCGAGAGGCGAUGAAGGACGCGCAUACCUGCGAUAAGCUCCGGCGAGCUGGAAAGAAGCAUUGAGCCGGAGAUUUCCGAAUGGGGAAACCCAGUGGAGCUAAUCCUCCACUAUCAUUAACUGAAUACAUAGGUUAGUGAGGCAAACCUGCUGAAUUGAGACAUCUAAGUAGGCAGAGGAAAAGAAAUCAAACGAGAUUCCCGUAGUAGCGGCGAGCGAAGUGGGAAUAGCCCAAACCGAAAAUUUAUUUUCGGGGUUGUAGGACUAGUCACAAAGCAUAAGGAAACUUAACAUAACCUUCUGGAAAGUUGGGCGAAACAGGGUGAAAGCCCCGUGUGUAAAAGGGGAACUUAUGUGAGAUUAGCACCUGAGUAAGGCCGGACACGUGAAACCCGGUCUGAAUCUGGGGAGACCACUCUCCAAGGCUAAAUACUUCUCGAUGACCGAUAGUGCACAAGUACAGUGAUGGAAAGGUGAAAAGAACCCCUGUUAGGGGAGUGAAAUAGAAUCUGAAACCAGCAGCCUACAAGCGGUCAGAGGCCUAUGUUCUCUUUUAGGGAAUAGGGCUGAUGGCGUGCCUUUUGCAUGAUGAGCCAGCGAGUUAUGUUAUACGGCUAGGUUAAGGGACAUCCGUUCCGGAGCCGAAGUGAAAGCGAGCGUUAAUAGCGCAUUAAGUCGUAUGAUGUAGACACGAAACCAAGUGAUCUAUCCAUGGCCAGGAUGAAGCAGGGGUAAAACCUUGUGAAGGUCCGAACCAGUAUCUGUUGAAAAAGAUUUGGAUGAGCUGUGGAUAGGGGUGAAAGGCCAAUCAAACUUGGAGAUAUCUUGUUCUCUCCGAAAUAACUUUAGGGUUAGCCUCGACUUUAAGACUCAUGGGGGUAGAGCACUGAAUUCCCGCGGGGGCCUACCGGCCUACCAACGGAAAUCAAACUCCGAAUACUAUGAGUUAAGUCGGGAGAUAGACAGUGGGGGAUAAGCUUCAUUGUCGAAAGGGGAACAGCCCAGAUCGCCGAUUAAGGCCCCUAAUUCUAUGCUAAGUGAGUAAGGAUGUGAAGUUUCAUAGACAGUUGGAAUGUUGGCUUAGAGGCAGCCACCAUUUAAAGAGUGCGUAACAGCUCACCAAUCGAGAGACUUUGCGCCGAUAAUGAUCGGGACUAAGCAUAGAGCCGAAAUCGCGGGUGUGCCACUUUGUGGUACGCGGUAGGAGAGCGUUGUAUGUGCAUUGAAGGUGUACCGUAAGGAGCACUGGAGCGCAUACAAGUGAGGAUGCAUGGCAUAAGUACACGAUAAAGGGAGUGAGAAUCUCCCUCGCCGAAAACCUAAGGUUUCCAGGGUAAAGCUCGUCUUCCCUGGGUUAGCCGGUCCCUAAGCUGAGGCUGAAAAGCGUAAGCGAUGGAAAGCAGGUUAAAUAUUCCUGCGCCACCUAAAACUAUAACAAUGGGGUGACGGAGUAAGUUAAGCACGCGGGCUAUUGGAUGUCCGUUCUUGUAUGAGGUGGGUCAGUAGGUAAAUCCGCUGACAUAAAGCCAGGUAUGAGACAAGGGGAAUCUUCGGAGGAACCGAUGGUGUGGCACGAUGCUUCCAAGAAAUAACCUCUAGUUGUUGAUGGUGACCGUACCAAAACCGACACAGGUAGGUGGGAUGAAUAUUCUCAGGCGCGCGAGAGAACUCUCGUUAAGGAACUCGGCAAAUUGUCCUCGUAACUUCGGAAUAAGAGGAGCCCUUGGGCGUGAUACCUUCGCGGUUAAGCGCUCGGGGGCCGCAGUGAAUAGGCCCAGGCGACUGUUUAACAAAAACACAGCACUAUGCAAACUCGUCUAAGAGGAAGUAUAUGGUGUGAUGCCUGCCCAAUGCCAAAAGGUCAAAAGGAGAUGUUAGCACUUCGGUGCGAAGCUUUGAAUUUAAGCCCUGGUGAAUGGCGGCCGUAACAAUAACGGUCCUAAGGUAGCGAA